rnacentral:rRNA from 1 species
GAGACGCUGGCGGCGUGGAUUAGGCAUGCAAGUCGAACGGUAGGAUACCUUCGGGUAUCUGAGAGUGGCGAACGGGUGAGUAACACGUAGGUGAUCUACCCUCAAGAUUGGGACAACCCAGGGAAACUUGGGCUAAUACCGGAUGAAAGCAGCAGUGAUGUUGUUUGAAAGGUGGCGUAAGCUGCCGUUUGGGGGAUGAGCCUGCGCUCUAUUAGUUAGUUGGCGGGGUAAAGGCCCACCAAGGCGAUGAUAGAUAGGCGGCCUUAACGGGUGGUCGCCCACACUGGGAUUGAGAUACGGCCCAGACUCCUACGGGAGGCAGCAGUCGAGAAUAGUCUACAAUGGCCGAAAGGCUGAUAGUGCGACGCCGCGUGAACGAAGAAGCCCUUCGGGGUGUAAAGUUCUUUUAUAUGUGAGCAGUGCUUUCUAUGUGAACAGCAUGGGGAGAGAGAUAUUAGCAUAUGAAUAAGCAACGGCCUAACCUCCGUG